rnacentral:sRNA from 1 species
AUCUCACUAUGUUGCCCAGCCUGGUCUCUAACUCCUGGCCUCAAGCAGUCCUCCCCGCCUUGGUCUACCAAAAUGUUGGGAUUCCAGGCGUGAGCUGCACCCGGCCUUUCUUCCCUUGUAUUUUCUGUCAUGGCUUAAGCCAGCCUUGGUUUUCUAAAACUUGCCUAGAACACUUGACCGAGAGCCAAACUCUUUGGCUUGUCCCUGAUGGGGGCAGAGCCUCACAGCACCCCAUGUCUGCUCCCUCAACCCCACCCGGGUUAUCAGGGCAUUUCAGCAUCUCCUUGGCCCCUGCUGAGGGUCAUGGGCUACAUGUUCUGAGACCCUGCCCUGCCACCUGAGGAGUGUCCCACCCAUGCAACCUUCUGUCUCUGCUUCCUUGUUUCAGUGCUACAAGGUGAGCUGCCUGGAAAUCCCUGGGCCCCCUGGUCCCAAGGGCUACCGUGGACAGAAGGGUGCCAAGGGCAACAUGGGUGAGCCGGGAGAGCCUGGCCAGAAGGGAAGACAGGGAGACCCGGGCAUCGAAGGCCCCAUUGGAUUCCCAGGACCCAAGGGCGUUCCUGGCUUCAAAGGAGAGAAGGGUGAAUUUGGAGCCGACGGUCGCAAGGGGGCCCCUGGCCUGGCUGGCAAGAACGGGACCGAUGGACAGAAGGGCAAGCUGGGGCGCAUCGGACCUCCUGGCUGCAAGGGAGACCCUGGAAACCGGGUAAGAGUCGUUUGCACCCCUCCUUCAGCCUCGGCCCAGGGGGUGUGGGUGCCUGACCGGGCGGAAGG